AGCGAACGUUAGCGGCGGGCCUAACACAUGCAAGUCGAGCGAGAAAGUGGCUUCGGCCAUCAGUAAAGCGGCGGACGGGUGAGUAACACGUAGGUAAUCUUCCCUUGAGCGGGGGACAACGUUUCGAAAGGAACGCUAAUACCGCAUACGUUUUCUAGGGACUCUGGUCCUUGGAAGGAAAGCUAGGUCGCAAGAUCCGGCACUCGAGGAGGAGCCUGCGUCGCAUCAGCUAGUUGGUGGGGGAACGGCCUACCAAGGCGAAGACGCGUAGCUGGUCUGAGAGGAUGAUCAGCCACACUGGGACUGAGACACGGCCCAGACUCCUACGGGAGGCAGCAGUGGGGAAUAUUGGACAAUGGGCGCAAGCCUGAUCCAGCCA
rnacentral:rRNA from 1 species